rnacentral:rRNA from 1 species
UACGGAGGAUGCGAGCGUUAUCCGGAUUUAUUGGGUUUAAAGGGUGCGUAGGCGGGUUAUCAAGUCAGCGGUAAAAUCGUGGAGCUCAACUCCAUCCAGCAGUUGAAACUGAUGAUCUUGAGUGGGCGAGAAGUAUGCGGAAUGCGUGGUGUAGCGGUGAAAUGCAUAGAUAUCACGCAGAACUCCGAUUGCGAAGGCAGCAUACCGGCGCCCGACUGACGCUGAAGCACGAAAGCGUGGGUAUCGAACAGG